rnacentral:misc_RNA from 1 species
GAUGAAAGAACGUAGCGAAAUGCGAUAAGUAAUGUGAAUUGCAGAAUUCAGUGAAUCAUCGAAUCUUUGAACGCACAUUGCGCCCAUUAGUAUUCUAGUGGGCAUGCCUGUUCGAGCGUCAUUAAGUCCACUUAAGCCCUGCUUAGUGUUGGGAGACUGCUCCAGCGGUGCUACCCUGUAGCUACCCUGCAGCUCCUCAAAGACAGCGGCGGAGUUGUGGUAUCCUCUGAGCUUAGUAACUUGUUCUAGCUUUCGAGUACACCACUUCCCCUGCCGUAAAACCCUUAAUUUUUAAUGGUUGACCUCGGAUCAGGUAGGAAUACCCGCUGAACUUAAGCAUAUCAAUAAGCGGAGGA